GUGGGGAAUAUUGGACAAUGGGCGAAAGCCUGAUCCAGCCAUGCCGCGUGUGUGAAGAAGGUCUUCGGAUUGUAAAGCACUUUAAGUUGGGAGGAAGGGCAGUAAGUUAAUACCUUGCUGUUUUGACGUUACCGACAGAAUAAGCACCGGCUAACUUCGUGCCAGCAGCCGCGGUAAUACGAAGGGUGCAAGCGUUAAUCGGAAUUACUGGGCUUAAAGCGCGCGUAGGUGGUUUUGUAAGUUGGAGGUGAAAUCCCCGGGCUCAACCUGGGAACUGCCUCCAAAACUGCAUGACUAGAGUACGGUAGAGGGUAGUUGAAUUUCCUGUGUAGCGGUGAAAUGCGUAGAUAUAGGAAGGAACACCAGUGGCGAAGGCGACUACCUGGACUGAUACUGACACUGAGGUGCGAAAGCGUGGCGAGCAAACAGGAUUAGAUACCCUUGUAGUCC
rnacentral:rRNA from 1 species